CUUUUACUCUCCCCUUCUCCUUCCCCCCAAGCCAAGCAGAAGCAGCAGAGGCCAAGAAAUGGGCGACCGGGCGUACGGGCCGUCCUCCAAGCCGGUUCCUGUGGCGGCGCUGCGGUCGGCCAACGGCACGGCGAACGGCGGCGGCGUAGGGACACCUCGGCCUCCGUCCAUGGUGCCCGGUCGCGUCCCGCCCCCGCCGAUGUACCGACCGAAGCCGAUGCAACCGCCACCGGGCCGUCGGCGGAGCGGGCGCGGGUGGUGCUGCGCGUGUUGCCUGUGGCUGACGCUGGUGUUGGUGGGGCUGGUGUUCCUUGGAGCAAUAGCGUUGGGGGUGUUCUACGUGAUUUACCACCCGGAGCUUCCGACCUUCGCCGUGACGUCGCUCCGUCUGGCGGCGCUGAACGUCUCCGACUCCGACUCCGUCACCUCCCGCAUCGAAUUCACAGUGACCGCGCGCAACCCCAACGAGAAGAUCGCGUUCGUGUACGGCGACAUCGGGGCUGCCUUCGCGGCCGACGGCACGGACAUCGGGGACGGCACCGUGCCGGGCUUCCUCCACCCCAGCCGCAACACGACGGUCAUCAAGGGGUCGGCUUCGGCGGCGGCCGCGACGGUGGACCCCGUGCAGGCGGCCAGUCUCAGAUCCAAGAAGUCCCAUGCGAUGUCAGUGGAGAUGGACUCCAAGGUGGGUUUCCAGAUCGGGCAGUUCAAGUCGAAGCGCAUCAGCGUCCGUGUGCUGUGCGGUGGCUUCAGCGCGGGGCUGGCCAAGCCGGCGCCCUCCCCGGCGCCGAUCAUCGUGGCCGCGGCGCCUGCGCCGACCCGGUCAAAAAUCAGGCUGUCGUCGUCUUCCACCGGAGGCGGCGGGUCGGCGACGACGGACGCAAAGUGAUCUUCAUCCGUCAUCCUGAGCAAUUGGGGCGGCGAUGCGGGCGAGCUUCACGAUAGUGGGGAGGACCAGGCCGCGGUGAAGGCAGGUCAUGCGCUCCUCAUGCUCCACGAACGGAACCUGCGCACGGAGGCGGUAGCGCGGGGUGGCAGCUGGCAAUGAGGCGGCCGCGCUACGUGACGAGCUACGGGUCCCCCUUUGUGAUGUUUUGGCAUCGCUCCUUCAUCGCACAUCCUCAGGUACGUCAAUUCAUUUCCUUCCCUUCCCUUCGUCCCUCGGUCCCACGCUCGUGGCGCUGAAGUGGUGGCAACAGGCGAUGGCGGUGGUGUCGCUGAUGGCGGCGAGGACAGCAUGUGGCAGCUCCCGAAGCAUGAACACGACCGCACCUCGGGCCUGCCGUCUGCCAAGAUAUGGGACGAUGCAGCUCUGGCCGAUUGACAAUGGAGGUUUGGGAUCCUUCCUCUCAGCACCCACUCCUGGAAGAAUCAGCGGUGCGCCACGCCGAUUGAACCCCGUCGAGAUCACUCGCCAAGAUUGCUAUUCUGAAGUUUAUUGUAAAGAAAGUGAAGAGUGAGACAGGAUCCGUUUAUUUUCAACCGGUCUAUUUUCAACCGGUCUAUUUCCAUCAAAUUACCCCCACCCCCACGCCCACCCACCGAAACGCGCCCAGCGAACCGGGGAGAGAUCCAUUGAUUUGGCUAAGGUAGGAAAGAAUCUAUUAUUUGUUUGCUAAAGCAAAUUGCAUUAAUGGGAGAGAUCCGUUGAUUUGGCUAAGGUAGGAAAGA